rnacentral:rRNA from 1 species
CAUUAAUGAGUUUUGAUGGAGGUUUUGAUGCUGGCAGCCGUCUUUCAGGCCGCAUGUGCUCGCCCCCUGACAAAUCAUCUUCCAAACACCUGUGCACAAUUUUGAGGGGGGGUUCAUGGGUUGAUUACCGUGAUUUUGGUGAUUUACUUUCAUUUCCCUCCCUUGAAUUUUUAUACAUUAUAUAUACACUUGUUGCAAUGCUGAACGUGUUUUGCGCCGUAAGGCCUUAAUAAAUUACAACUUUUAACAACGGAUCUCUUGGUUCUCGCAUCGAUGAAGAACGCAGCGAAAUGCGAUAAGUAAUGUGAAUUGCAGAAUUCAGUGAAUCAUCGAAUCUUUGAACGCACCUUGCGCUCCCUGGUAUUCCGGGGAGCACGCCUGUUCGAGUGUCGCGAAAUUUCUCAAGCUUUGGAUGACUUUCUUGUCUGUCCUUUGUCUUGGUUAUUGGGCUCUGCCGUGUUCCUCUAUUGGUACGGCUGGCCUUAAAAGUAUUAGCUGGCCUUCAUGUGAAGCUGGUUCUACUCAGCGUGAUAAUAAUCUGAUCGCCGAGGACAUCUUCUUUUGGGGAUGGCCAGUUUUCGUUUGGGCUGCUUCUAACCUGGUGGUACAGUUCCGUGCCCCACUUUUCGGCUUUGACCUCGAAUCAGGUGGGACUACCCGCUGAACUUA